GUUGAAGAAGAUUGAUGGUGACCUACGUUGUGAAAGUGCUUACCAAGUGUUUCAUCGCAUAGCCAGAAUAACAUGAUGCAGAACGUUUAACGUGCUUUCAUGGCGCAUGGAAUGAAAGAUCGAUUAGUUGCCAAGUAUUGAAAUACUGCAGAAUGACGGAUCAGUGUGCGUUCACUUUCGUCACGUAGAGGAAAACGGUGAUUAUCAUUGCGAAAAUGUCUAUUGGAUAAAGCGAAAAGCCCCA